GAUGAACGCUGGCGGCGUGCCUAAUACAUGCAAGUCGAGCGAACGGACGAGAAGCUUGCUUCUCUGAUGUUAGCGGCGGACGGGUGAGUAACACGUGGAUAACUUACCUAUAAGACUGGGAUAACUUCGGGAAACCGGAGCUAAUACCGGAUAAUAUUUUGAACCGAAUGGUUCAAAAGUGAAAGACGGUCUUGCUGUCACUUAUAGAUGGAUCCGUGCUGCAUUAGCUAGUUGGUAAGGUAACGGCUUACCAAGGCAACGAUGCAUAGCCGACCUGAGAGGGUGAUCGGCCACACUGGAACUGAGACACGGUCCAGACUCCUACGGGAGGCAGCAGUAGGGAAUCUUCCGCAAUGGGCGAAAGCCUGACGGAGCAACGCCGCGUGAGUGAUGAAGGUCUUCGGAUCGUAAAACUCUGUUAUUAGGGAAGAACAUAUGUGUAAGUAACUGUGCACAUCUUGACGGUACCUAAUCAGAAAGCCACGGCUAACUACGUG
rnacentral:rRNA from 1 species